GACAUAGGUCGCAAACGUUAUCCGGAAUUAUUGGGCGUAAAGGAUGCGUAGAUGGUUCAGUAAGUUACUGGUGGGAAAUCGAGGCUCAACCUCGUGGAAGUCAGUAAUACUGUUGAACUUGAGUGCAGGAGAGGAAAGCGGAAUACCUGGUGUAGAGGUGAAAUUCGUAGAUAUCGGAAGGAACAUCAGUGGCGAAGGCGACUUCCUGGACCAAUACUGACGCUCAGGUGCGAAAGCGUGGGGAGCAAACAGG
rnacentral:rRNA from 1 species